CUCGCUUCCCGCCGGGGUGGAAGAAGCGGUGGAGGCGCCUCGCCCUCCGAGCCCCGCGACCUCCGCCAAGAAGGUCAUCUCCUCUAAAACGGAUCUUCCAGUGGUAAAUACAUAUAGAUAUAAUAGGUCUAAGACAUACAGAUGCAAGUCUGCCACAUGUCAGACCCAUGGCUGCGUCAGCAAAGGCCUGGAUUCACGAUUUCCGAUGUGGUGAUGGCACCUGGAUCCCACACAAAGUCUCAUGACUGCUGUACAGAAUGAUCUGAACAUGCAUGUUCAUUGUCAUAGACAACUCCAUAAAAAUAAUAAAUCUUGUACUUCA